UGAACCGGUUGUUGAAAACUCAACAGAUGAAAGGUGGAAAUGGUUCAAGAAUUGCUUAGGGGCACUAGAUGGAACUCAUAUUAGAGUGAGAGUACCUAUGGCUGAUAAACCAAAAUAUCGUACUCGAAAAGGUGAAAUAGCUACAAAUGUCUUAGGUGUAUGCUCCCAAGACAUGCAAUUCAUAUAUGUGUUACCUGGAUGGGAAGGCUCUGCAGCAGAUGGUAGAGUUUUACGUGAUGCCAUACAUAGAACAAAUGGUUUGUGUGUUCCAAAUGGUCAUUAUUACCUUAUAGAUGGUGGAUAUACUAAUUGUAAGGGAUUUCUUGCUCCAUAUCGAGGCCAACGCUAUCACCUCAACCAAGGGGAAGAUGGGAAUCCUCCCAGAAAUCCACAAGAGUUUUUUUAAUAUGAAGCACUCAUCUGCUAGGAAUUUCAUUGAGAGAUGUUUUGGUGCAAUUAAGAAUCGAUGGGCAAUUCUUAGGAGUCCAUCAUUCUAUCCAAUAAAGACACAAAACCGAAUCAUUUUAGCAUGUUGUUUGCUUCACAAUUUUAUUAGGAGAGAAAUGCCUACUGAUAAUACUGAUAUGCAUCCAGAGAAUGAGAGUGA